UCAACAUUAACCCACAGAGUUAGGACAAUCCCUCAGAUCCCAGAAGCUGACACACUAUGUUGUACGUCCGAGGCCUGCAGCUACCUGGCUACCUGGCUCUGGCUGCCCUGGUUAGCCUGGUACACAGUCAGCAUGUGUUCCUGGGCCCUCAGCAAGCACUGUCGCUGCUCCAGCGUGUCCGGAGAGCCAACAGUGGCUACCUGGAGGAGCUAAGGAAAGGCAACUUGGAGCGGGAGUGUGUGGAGGAGCAGUGCAGUUAUGAGGAGGCCUUCGAGGCCCUGGAGUCUCUCAGUGCCACGGAUGUAUUCUGGGCCAAGUACAGUGUUUGUGAUUCAGUGAGGAAAACUCGAGAGACUUUCAUGGACUGUCUGGAAGGUCGCUGUGCUAUGGAUCUGGGGACAAACUACAUUGGGACUGUGAGUGUCACCCACUCCGGGAUUGAGUGCCAGUUAUGGCGGAGCCGCUACCCACACAAGCCUGACAUCAACUUCACCACGCAUCCUGGGGCCAACCUGCAGGAGAAUUUCUGCCGCAAUCCGGAUAGCAGCACCCAGGGACCCUGGUGCUACACCACAGACCCCACUGUGCGGAGAGAAGAAUGUAGUGUUCCUGUCUGCGGCCAGGAGGGCCGGACAACUGUGGAGAUGGUUCCUCGCUCUGGAGGGUCCAAAGGGAACCUGUCACCCCCACUGGAGCAAUGCAUCACUGAGCGUGGCCGGCUGUACCAGGGGAAUUUGGCUGUGACAACACUUGGGUCCCCCUGCCUGGCCUGGGCCAGCUCACCAGCCAAGGCCCUGAGCAAGUACCAGGACUUCGACCCGGAGGUGAAACUCGUGGAAAACUUCUGCCGCAACCCUGAUGGGGAUGAGGAGGGCGUGUGGUGCUACGUUGCCGGGCAGCCUGGCGACUUUGAAUACUGCAGCCUCAACUACUGUGAGGAGGCGGUGGGAGAGGAGAUCCAGGACGCGGAGGAGUCCAUCGCGGGGCGCACCACUGAUGGGGAGUUCCACACCUUCUUUGAUGAGAAGACCUUCGGCAUGGGAGAGGCAGACUGUGGCCUUCGGCCUCUGUUCGAAAAGAAGUCGAAGAAAGACAAAACGGAAAAGGAACUUCUUGACUCUUACAUAGAUGGGCGCAUCGUGGAGGGCUGGGACGCUGAGAUGGGUAUCGCCCCCUGGCAGGUGAUGCUCUUCCGGAAGAGUCCCCAAGAACUGCUGUGUGGGGCCAGCCUUAUCAGCGACCGAUGGGUCCUCACAGCUGCCCACUGCCUUCUGUACCCACCGUGGGACAAGAACUUCACUGAGAAUGACCUUCUGGUGCGCAUUGGCAAGCAUUCCCGCACCAGGUAUGAGCGGAACAUUGAAAAGAUCUCCAUGCUGGAAAAGAUCUACAUCCACCCCAGAUACAACUGGCGGGAAAAUCUGGACCGCGACAUCGCUCUGCUCAAGCUCAAGAAGCCCGUGCCGUUUAGCGACUAUAUUCACCCCGUGUGUCUGCCAGACAAGCAGACAGCAGCCAGCUUGCUCCAGGCUGGGUAUAAAGGGCGGGUGACAGGCUGGGGCAACCUUCGGGAGACAUGGACGACCAGCAUCAGCGAGAUACAGCCCAGCGUCCUGCAGGUAGUCAACCUGCCCAUCGUAGAGCGGCCAGUGUGCAAGGCCUCCACCCGGAUCCGCAUCACUGACAACAUGUUCUGUGCUGACAGCAAUGAGGGUACACAGCACAGACCCAAAUAGACGGUCCUGAGGAUGCUUCCUUCCUAGAAGAGGGGAUGCCAACCGAGAGCAUCAGUUCUUGAUAACAGCUCUGAAGAGGAGAGGACAAAGUCAGUCAAAUACAGGGGUCAGAGAGGGUUGGAGAAGGCCUUUCUCAAGAAGGUGAAGGCUAAGCAGAGACUGGAAGAAGUGAACGGAGAGUCGGACACAGAGAUGCAGGUUUCAAGGUGAAUGACACCAAGAGAGGAGAUGCUUGUGAAGGUGACAGUGGGGGACCUUUUGUCAUGAAAAGCCCCUAUAACAACCGCUGGUAUCAAAUGGGCAUUGUCUCAUGGGGUGAAGGCUGUGACCGGAAUGGGAAAUAUGGCUUCUACACACACGU